AUGCCUCAGAAUAAACGCUAGCGAUACACCUAACACAUGCAAGUUGAACGCAUAUAUUUUUAUAUGAGUAGCGAACGGGUGCGUAACACGUGAGAAUCUACCCAUAGCUUAUGGUUAAAUGCCGUAGAAUCUUAUAGAUUUAGAUAUAUAUCGGUUAUGGAUGAGCUUGCGGGGUAUUAGGUAGUUGGUGUGGUAAUGGCGCACCAAGCCCAAGAUGCCUAGCCGGUUUGAGAGAACGAUCGGCCACACUGGGACUGAGACACGGCCCAGACGCUUACGAGCGGCAGCAGUGGGGAAUAUUGGACAAUGGGCGAAAGCCUGAUCCAGUGAUAUCGCUUUGGGGAUGACGGCGACAUACGUUGUAAACCCAAUGAAGUACGUUUAGAUUAUGACCGUACGUAUUUUAGAAGUCCCGGCUAAUCUCGUG
rnacentral:rRNA from 1 species